rnacentral:rRNA from 2 species
GCGACCUCAGCUCAGGCGGGGCCACCCGCUGAGUUUAAGCAUAUCAAUAAGCGGAGGAAAAGAAACUAACGAGGAUUCCCCUA